AGUCGAUGGAGCACUAACUCCAUGGUCGGAAGGUCCUGUGUUCGCAUCACGGCCGCGACUGACGUAUAUCGAUAUAAAUAGGUCGUAACUGCUCCUUCACCAAGAGCUGGGUACUUUUAGUAGUUUGGAGUAAAACUUGUGGGUCCUUUACAUGAGACCUUAAAAAACCGAGACCCCAUGUCGCAGUAGGUGCUGGCACGAUAAAGAUGCUGCUCAUAGUGUCGAGUAAAGGAUGUCAGCCUUUCUAAUUGCAUAAAAAAAUCUCGAAUGGUAUAUAAAACAGCAAACAAUCAAUCGUAUUCAUCUAUCGAAGCCUAUUUAAAACCUUUCAGAAAAUGCAUUUGAUUAAUAGAACGUAUUUCAAAAAUUUGAAAGUGGAUUUAUUUUGUUAUACAUUUCAUGAAUUUGUUAAUAUAAGGCAUUAAAUAUAAUCUGUUUCAUGAAUUGAUUUCACCCUUUUUUGAACAAAAUAAAAACCCUUGAAUUUUAAACAGAAAACUUUAAACUUGCUAUUAGACGUACCUUAUACACAUAAAAUAAUGCAUAAUAAUGUGAUAUUCUGCCAAAAAAAAGGCAUCGCUUCUUUUAUCUAACAUAAUUUUUAUUUAUUGCACAAUUUUUAGCUCAUCUCAACGAAGUUGGGGGAGCUUAUGUAAUACUAGUACCCUCGGCGUCGGUGUCGGAGUCGGCAUCCCGGGUUAAGUUGUUGAAACCUUGGUAGCUUUAUGUCUUCUGUGCCAUCAUGUUGUCAGCGUUUCUAAUAGUCUACAAUGUAUUGAAAGAGCCACGGAUAUUUACAAGAAAAUUACUAACACCACAACAUGUUUAUCCAGUUAUGAAAAAAACGUUUCUUUGAGAAACAUCACAGAAUGUUCCGAAGACUGUGUUGUAAAAGAAACAUCGAGGGAGGAUAACUAUAUGAGAAUACACAUCAAAUACGACACUGAUAUUAUUUUAAAGCUAGAAAGCAAGAAGAAUUAUAACUGUGGAUACAGUUCUAAAAACAUGUAUAUCGAAUGCACCAUAAAUAAAAGAAAACAAGAAAGGUUAGAAACAUGUAUAACUGGUCAAUGUAUCAACAGUCUGAACGGAAGAACCAUUCAUUCAAAGCAAGUAAAUGAAACAGAUAAUGUUACUCUAGCUCCUCAAGAUGCGAAUCCCUUAUCAGACCCACUCAUCUUUUCUGCUGCAAUUGCAGGAUCUAUUAUUCUCAGUGCCGUUAUUACAGGAACUGGGUGCUUACUGUUCAUGAAAUAAAAAAAAGACAUGUACCUCUAUAUAAUGUUUUCCAAUACAAUGCAUUCUAAGAUGAUCAUAGGUCCAUCAACCAUCUUUGAUUUAAAUUCAAUCAAAGUCCAGUAUGAAGUAUUGAGCAUGAGGCUUAUAUGGUAUCUUGGGAGAGUAUUUCUACAAAGGUUAAUUGAAAUGCAAUGCUCUUUUGAGAUACAUUUAAAUAUGAAAGGACAGUUCUUUUUUAUUAUUUUUUUCAGCUAUACUAGUCAAAGUGUCUUAGCAACAUUCCUGACAUUUUCUUUCAUAGAAAUACUGUAUUUUCAAUACAUUAUCUUGGUUGUUUUUUUUUACAAACAUGUUUUUUUUAGUUUUCUAAAAAUACAAUUUUUUGAAAUCUUAUACAACUUUUUAAAAUCGCUUUGUCUUGAAUUGUAAAUCAACAUAAGAGUUAAAUGUUAAUACUUCAAGUCAUUAAGAAUGCGGAUACAGUUACUUCAAUAUAAUACAAUCUAUAUUUUUAUACACAAUGGAAGUCAUGUUAUCAACAAUGGCAUCUAUCCAAUUUUCUAUUUUCUUUCGUAUAUAAGCAAACCAUUUGGGGAAUAUAACUUAUAAAGAAAUAAGUUGACAAAAGUUGGACUCUGACUUUUGAUUUUCAGAGAUACAGUAAGAACUAUAAAUAUUUAAUAUUUGAUAAUAUCAUACUUUCAUGAAUUACUUGAAUCUGAUUCGUCGAGAAACAUUUGUUGAAAAACACUAUUACCCGCUGAAUAAUGAAGCCACGACCUCCUGUGUAGCAACAGUCAACAUUGCUUGACAACGGGUGAUAUUCCAAACAAUAGUGACUGCGCAGAAUUUAUGCGCGCACGGUUCACUGUUAUAUGUAUUUGUAUAAAACAUCAGUAUAAUAUAAUAAAUAUUGCAUGUAGUUGAGUGUAACAAGAAAAUCACUGUCAACCUCGGCUGCGCCUCGGUUGACAAUGGUUUUCUUGGGGUGAACAUUUUCAAUGUUACACACAACUACAUGCAAUAUUUAUAUACUAGUUUUUCAAUAUUGUACAUACGUUGUAUUUAUAAAAGAUUUCAUUCAGUGUCACUUUUCUAAUACGUGACCAUUGUCGCUUCUAAUAAGUUUUGAGUAUAAUAAAUUGAAAAUCAAGUGGAUUGGAAUUUUCAGGAAAAAAAAUCAUCAAAAGUCGAAAUUAGAUUUGUAUUUUUAGCAUGAAUUGUUAUUUAUGUCUUUAAAACCUCCGAAACUCAGUGGCAGCAAUUGUUUAACCACAAACCAUGGCUAGAAGGCAGCAUUAACCAAAACAGUGUUCAUAAAAUGAAAAUUGAGAAAUAAUUUUUAUCUUAAAAUCACACCUCCCUCCCAUAUCAACAAUGUUUAUUAUGGGAGUCUUGAACUUUUUGUUUUGAUACUUUUAUUUGUCUGGUUUGUUUUCCCUUGCCAUUUUUAUUAUUAUGGUUCUCAUUAAAGUAUUUUUUUAUAAGUCUAUUCAAAUCCAUUGUCAUGAGUCUUUCGAUGAAGUAUGGCUGAUUUGAACGAUUUGAUUUGGCUUAAUCUAACCGGUACCAUUUAUUUUGUGUGCGGUUUGCUAGGUUUUGUCUGAUGUUAUCGAUUUUACUUGUGCUGUGUUUCAAGUGUUUGAUACAUGUAUGUCUGAUUUUUAUUAUGGUAUUUUUGAAUUUGUAAUAUAUUUACAUGAAUGUAUGAUGAUAAUAAACUUUAUUGUGCUAAUUUUCGAGUUUAUGAUUCAGUACAUAUCUGAUUUCAAUGAUUUUCAUCGUGCUAUAUUCUGGGGUUUCUUAUUUUGAUCAUUUUGAAUGUAAUUAUGUUUUGAAAACUGAUUUUAAUGACAUGUACAUGUAUUGUUAUUAUUAAAAGAUCAAAACAUAUAUAUAUGUCUUGUUUUAAACGCACAAGUUGCUCUACCUGUGAUGUAUUCAAUGAUUAAAAUGUGUUUUCAAUAAUAAUUUCUAAUGGAUAUUUUUAUGUUAUUAUAGGCAAAAAUAAAUUCAUCUCUUACCUUCGCUUUUCAGGGACGAUUUGACCUACAUGUACAUGUACGUUUCAUAUUGUUGUUCCAUAUUGUUCCUUCGUAUACCUGGUAUGUAGUGUACAAGCAAAUAAAAUGUUUAUCGUCAUUUUGCUAAAAAAUGUACAUUUUUUAUUCUAGCUUACAUGUAUAUACUCCUAUGUUAAUAUGUUGAAAAUCAAAAGGACCAAUAGCAUUCUGAAGAAAAGAGUGGAAAAAAUAAAUCAUAUUGUAUUAUCAAUACCAAUCAAAACAAAUAGAUUCUUUUUGGGAGACGAUUAAUACAAUGGAUGUAUGUGGAUCUAAAUG